rnacentral:rRNA from 1 species
AGAGUUUGAUCCUGGCUCAGGACGAACGCUGGCGGCGCGCCUAACACAUGCAAGUCGAACGGAGUUGCGCGAAACACUGUGUGUUUCGCUGAGUGGUUARAAAAUAGUAGUUAGUAGUUAGUGAAAUAACUAACAACUACCAACUAAAAACUAACAACAGUGAAGCAAAACACAGAGUGUUUUGCGUAACUUAGUGGCGGACGGGUGAGUAACACGUGAGUAAUCUGCCUUUUGGAGGGGGACAACAGUUGGAAACGACUGCUAAUACCGCAUGACACAUUCUGGUCGCAUGGUCGGAAUGUCAAAGAUUUAUCGCCAAAAGAUGAGCUCGCGUCUGAUUAGAUAGUUGGUAAGGUAACGGCUUACCAAGUCUACGAUCAGUAGCCGGACUGAGAGGUUGAACGGCCACAUUGGGACUGAGACACGGCCCAGACUCCUACGGGAGGCAGCAGUGGGGGAUAUUGCACAAUGGGGGAAACCCUGAUGCAGCGACGCCGCGUGAGGGAAGAAGGUUUUCGGAUUGUAAACCUCUGUCAGGGGGGAAGAUAGUGACGGUACCCCUUGAGGAAGCCACGGCUAACUACGUGCCAGCAGCCGCGGUAAUACGUAGGUGGCAAGCGUUGUCCGGAAUUACUGGGUGUAAAGGGAGUGUAGGCGGGACUUUAAGUCAGAUGUGAAAUGCGCAGGCUCAACCUGCGACCUGCAUUUGAAACUGAAGUUCUUGAGUGAAGUAGAGGCAAGCGGAAUUCCAUGUGUAGCGGUGAAAUGCGUAGAUAUAUGGAGGAACACCAGUGGCGAAGGCGGCUUGCUGGGCUUUUACUGACGCUGAGGCUCGAAAGCGUGGGGAGCAAACAGGAUUAGAUACCCUGGUAGUCCACGCCGUAAACGAUGAUUACUAGGUGUGGGGGGAUUGAACCCUUCCGUGCCGCAGCUAACGCAUUAAGUAAUCCACCU